rnacentral:ncRNA from 2 species
UUUCACUUGUCGGAGUGCCCUAAGGGCUGAGACCGUUUAUUCGGGAUCCGUUGAACCUGAUCAGGCUAGAACCUGCGAAGGGAAACAAGAGUUGCGCUCAG